UACGGAGGGUGCAAGCGUUGUUCGGAAUCACUGGGCGUAAAGGGCGCGCAGGCGGCCUGAUUAGUCAGAUGUGAAAGCCCACGGCUUAACUGUGGAAGUGCAUUUGAGACUGUCAGGCUUGAGUACCAGAGGGGAAAGUGGAAUUCCCGGUGUAGAGGUGAAAUUCGUAGAUAUCGGGAGGAAUACCGGUGGCGAAGGCGACUUUCUGGCUGGAUACUGACGCUGAGGCGCGAAAGCGUGGGGAGCAAACAGGAUUAGAUA
rnacentral:rRNA from 1 species